rnacentral:tRNA from 1 species
AAAAAAUAUCUUUACGAAAAACAGAAAACUUUUUUAGAUUUUCAUUUCGGAAAUUUUCGAUUCAAUAAAUC